AGUGAACGCUGGCGGUAGGCCUAACACAUGCAAGUCGAACGGCGGCACAGUAAGAGCUUGCUCUUACGGGUGGCGAGUGGCGGACGGGUGAGGAAUACAUCGGAAUCUACUUUUUCGUGGGGGAUAACGUAGGGAAACUUACGCUAAUACCGCAUACGACCUACGGGUGAAAGCAGGGGAUCUUCGGACCUUGCGCGAUUGAAUGAGCCGAUGUCGGAUUAGCUAGUUGGCGGGGUAAAGGCCCACCAAGGCGACGAUCCGUAGCUGGUCUGAGAGGAUGAUCAGCCACACUGGAACUGAGACACGGUCCAGACUCCUACGGGAGGCAGCAGUGGGGAAUAUUGGACAAUGGGCGCAAGCCUGAUCCAGCCAUACCGCGUGGGUGUAGAAGGCCUUCGGGUUGUAAAGCCCUUUUGUUGGGAAAGAAAAGCAGCAGGUUAAUACCCCGCUGUUCUGACGGUACCCAAAGAAUAAGCACCGGCUAACUUCGUG
rnacentral:rRNA from 1 species